UACGGGGGGGGCAAGCGUUGUUCGGAAUUACUGGGCGUAAAGGGUUCGUAGGUGGCCAACUAAGUCAUACGUGAAAUCCCUCAGCUUAACUGGGGAACUGCGUCUGAUACUGGUUGGCUUGAGUGCAGGAGAGGAACGCGGAAUUCCAGGUGUAGCGGUGAAAUGCGUAGAUAUCUGGAGGAACACCGGUGGCGAAGGCGGCGUUCUGGACUGUAACUGACACUGAGGAACGAAAGCCAGGGGAGCAAACGGG
rnacentral:rRNA from 1 species